GAAAAUAGAAUGGAUAAAAGGCCAGAUUUAACGGGACUUAAAAUAAAACGGGUUUUAACUCCCGGAACCCACUAAGUUAACUAGGUAAAAUUAACCUAGUUAGUAAUGAGUAACUAAAUAAUAAACUAUGGGUUAUAGUUUCAUUUAUGAAUCUCUAAACUUGAGGGGCUAAACAUGGGCAACUAGAGAAGUGUUUUAUUAAAACACUUAAAUAAAAAAAAAACACACACACAUACAUGUGUGUACGUAUGCGAUCAGAAGAAGGAGCCAGGAGAGCUCAAACCCUAGUUGUACAAAUCCUCCAAAUCGAAGCUCAAAUCAAGCCCGAAUCGUCUGCAUGAUUACAAAUUCGUGAUCGCCUAGUCGUGGGGAUCAUAAGUUGACUCUAAACAAGCUAGGUGGGAGCUUGAAAAGGAAUGGGUCAAACGGAUCAUGGAUGCGAAGAAUGUUUGCGUGGAUGCGAGGUACAUUUUGGAUGCCGGAAGACGAUCAAGCUCGACGAAGGACCGAACACGAU